rnacentral:rRNA from 1 species
CCUACGGGUGGCAGCAGUGAGGAAUAUUGGUCAAUGGGCGUAAGUCUGAACCAGCCAAGUCGCGUGAGGGAUGACGGCCCUAUGGAUUGUAAACUUCUUUUAUAUGGGAAUAAAGUGUGGGACGUGUCCUGUUUUGUAUGUACCUUAUGAAUAAGGAUCGGCUAACUCCGUGCCAGCAGCCGCGGUAAUACGGAGGAUCCGAGCGUUAUCCGGAUUUAUUGGGUUUAAAGGGUGCGUAGGUGGACUUUUAAGUCAGUGGUGAAAGUCUGUGGCUCAACCGUAAAAUUGCCGUUGAAACUGGGAGUCUUGAGUAUGUUUGAGGCAGGCGGAAUGCGUGGUGUAGCGGUGAAAUGCUUAGAUAUCACGAAGAACUCCGAUUGCGAAGGCAGCUCACUGGACUGCAACUGACACUGAGGCUCGAAAGUGUGGGUAUCAAACAGGAUUAGAUACCCGUGUAGUC